ACUGCUCAGUAACACGUGGAUAACCUGCCCUAGGGGAGGGGAUAACCCCGGGAAACUGGGGAUAAUACCCUAUAGGUUACAGAUGCUGGAAUGCCCUGUAACCAAAAGCUCCGGCGCCCUAGGAUGGAUCUGCGGCCGAUUAGGUUGUUGUUGGGGUAACGGCCCAACAAGCCCGUAAUCGGUACGGGUUGUGGGAGCAAGAGCCCGGAGUUGGAUUCUGAGACACGAAUCCAGGCCCUACGGGGCGCAGCAGGCGCGAAACCUUUACAAUGCGGGCAACCGUGAUAAGGGAACCUCGAGUGCCUGUAAACGCAGGCUGUUCAGGUGUUUAAAACGCACCUGGAGAAAGGGCCGGGCAAGACCGGUGCCAGCCGCCGCGGUAAUACCGGCGGCUCGAGUGGUGGCCGCUUUUAUUGGGCUUAAAGCGUUCGUAGCUGGGUUGUUAAGUCUCUUGGGAAAUCUGGCGGCUUAACCGUCAGGCGUCUAAGGGAUACUGGCAAUCUUGGAACCGGGAGAGGUGAGGGGUACUUCGGGGGUAGGGGUGAAAUCCUGUAAUCCUCGAGGGACCACCUGUGGCGAAGGCGCCUCACCAGAACGGCUUCGACAGUGAGGGACGAAAGCUGGGGGAGCAAACCGGAUUAGAUACCCGGGUAGUCCCAGCCGUAAACGAUGCGCGUUAGGUGUAUCGGUGACCACGAGUUACCGAGGUGCCGAAGGGAAACCGUGAAACGCGCCGCCUGGGAAGUACGGUCGCAAGGCUGAAACUUAAAGGAAUUGGCGGGGGAGCAC
rnacentral:rRNA from 1 species